rnacentral:rRNA from 1 species
AACGAACGCUGGCGGCAUGCCUAACACAUGCAAGUCGAACGAGACCUUCGGGUCUAGUGGCGCACGGGUGCGUAACGCGUGGGAACCUGCCCUUAGGUUCGGAAUAACUCCCCGAAAGGGGUGCUAAUACCGGAUAAUGUCUUCGGACCAAAGAUUUAUCGCCUUUGGAUGGGCCCGCGUUGGAUUAGCUAGUUGGUAGGGUAAAAGCCUACCAAGGCGACGAUCCAUAGCUGGUCUGAGAGGAUGAUCAGCCACACUGGGACUGAGACACGGCCCAGACUCGUACGGGAGGCAGCAGUGGGGAAUAUUGGACAAUGGGCGGAAGCAUGAACCAGCAAUGCCGCGUGAGUGAUGAAGGCCUUAGGGUUGUAAAGCUCUUUUACCCGGGAUGAUAAUGACAGUACCGGGAGAAUAAGCGCCGGCUAACUCCGUG